rnacentral:rRNA from 1 species
GAACGGGAUGGGUGACUUCGGUCAUUCAUUUAGUGGCGGACGGGUGAGUAACGCGUGGGUACCUACCCUGUAGAGCGGGAUAACUGUGGGAAACUACAGCUAAUACCGCAUAUACUCAGCAAUGAGGAAAGAUUUAUCGCUACAGGAUGGGCCCGCGUCAGAUUAGAUAGUUGGUGGGGUAACGGCCUACCAAGUCGAUGAUCUGUAACUGGUCUGAGAGGAUGACCAGUCACACUGGGACUGAGACACGGCCCAGACUCCUACGGGAGGCAGCAGUGGGGAAUAUUGGACAAUGGGGGCAACCCUGAUCCAGCGAUGCCGCGUGAGUGAAGAAGGCCUUCGGGUUGUAAAACUCUUUCACCUGUGAAGAUAAUGACGGUAGCAGGAGAAGAAGCACCGGCAAACUCUGUG